rnacentral:rRNA from 1 species
UUGAACGCUGGCGGCAUGCCUUACACAUGCAAGUCGAACGGUAGAGGGGCAACCCUUGAGAGUGGCGAACGGGUGAGUAAUAUAUCGGAACGUGCCCAGUCGUGGGGGAUAACGCAGCGAAAGCUGCGCUAAUACCGCAUACGAUCUAUGGAUGAAAGCGGGGGAUCGCAAGACCUCGCGCGAUUGGAGCGGCCGAUAUCAGACUAGGUAGUUGGUGGGGUAAAAGCCCACCAAGCCGACGAUCUGUAGCUG